rnacentral:tRNA from 1 species
GCCUGUGUGGCUAAGUCGGUGAAGCAUCUGACUUUGGCUCAGGUCAUGAUCCUGACCUGAGCGUUCGUGGGUUCGAGCCCCACGUCGGGCU